UACAGAGGGUGCAAGCGUUGUUCGGAAUUACUGGGCGUAAAGGGCGCGUAGGCGGCCUUGUCAGUCAGGCGUGAAAGCCCCGGGCUCAACCUGGGAACGGCGCUUGGGACGGCGAGGCUGGAGUUCGGGAGAGGAGAGUGGAAUCCCCAGUGUAGAGGUGAAAUUCGUAGAUAUUAGGAAGAACACCAGUGGCGAAGGCGGCCCACUGGAUCGGUACUGACGCUGAGGUGCGAAAGCGUGGGGAGCAAACAGG
rnacentral:rRNA from 1 species